rnacentral:lncRNA from 1 species
GUCUGGAGGUCAGAAGUCUGGAAUGGGGCUUACUGUGCAGAAAUCAAGGUGUUGUGAGGGUGUGUUCCCUCUGGCGACUCCAGGGAAGAGCCACCAGAUUGAGAGUGUGUCUACAUUCCUUGGCUUGCGGACAGCUACAGGCUUUGCUGGAGCACCUGUAAGGCAGAGAAUGGGCAGUGAUCCCACAGACAAAGCAAGACCCAGGCACCCAAGUAAGGUGUGGAGCAUCACGUGGUUGGGUAAGGUGCACCUUGUCCCAAAAGCUGUGAUUAAUAAGGUGCAAACUUAUACAACCCCUAAGACUGUGAAAGAGGUGCAGGGCUUUGUAGGAUUUUGGGGGGGAGUUUAGAGGGCUUUUAUUCUCCACUUGGUACAGUGCCUCAGUCUCUUAGGCCACCUGGCAAAGAAAGGGCAUGUAUAGGACUGGAGAUCAGAGCAGCAAGCCACGUUUAAGAAGGUAAAAACAAGGGGCACCUUGUUUUUGUGUUUUUGGGGGUUCAGUUAGUUAAGUGUCUGCCUUCGGUUCAGGUCAUGAUCCCAGGGUCCUGGGAUCGAGCCCUGCAUUGAGCCCCACAUCGGACUCCCUGCUCAGGGGGAAGCCUGCUUCUCUCUCUCCCACUCCCCCUGCUUGUGUUUCCUCUCUUCCUGUGUCUUUCUCUGUCAAAUAAAUAAAUAAAUAAAAUCAUUAAAAAAAAUAAAAAAGGAAAAACAAACAAAAACUAGAAAAACAAAAAAUCCCUAAUGAAACAGAUGAAAACUCUGGGGCAUCUCUCAAGCAGGGCUACCGUUGGAGUUAGACGUGUCAGUGACUCCAGAGGUAGGGGUCAGGCACUGUGGCAGAGGCAACAAAGUGCGGGGGCUGCCCUGAGGAUUUUGGUUCUAGUUCUGGAAGGAGGCAGAAACCCAAGGUACUCUCUAGAGCCGGUGGUAGUACAGAGUGCUCCUCUAGGUAAAGCCUUUCC